AACAUAGUGUUUUUUCAUGACUGAUGUAGGCUAGCCCCGGGACACAGCUCCUGAGGUGGGGAAGCAUGGUCUGUGGCAGAGGACAAAGGUGCAGCUGGCUCGCUGUACCUGGGAUACAAGGAGGGUCACUGGGCUUUCAAACCUCUGAUCAACUGGGAACCAGUCUGCAUUUCACUGACCCACAUUAAUCCAAUAUUUAUGAGACUUUAUCAUAAAAGGCUGUAACCCUAUCAUUGAAGGUAAGAUACUCUCUAAUACCCACCUUAAUAUGUUUAGAAAAUCUGAUUGCAAUUUGACUGAAUGAUUACAUAAUUGUAAUAAGGGAUAAUAUUUUUUUCAAGAUUUGAAGUGUUUUAUAUGGAAUAAUGCUUUAGUUGUCAGCCAGUAUUUAAUUUGUUUCAGGGUUAUCUGAAUUUAGCUUGACUGUGAAGAGAAUGUGUUAAUCUUAGAGAGUAUUUUUGUUUUGUACCCAGCAUCAAUGUCAGGAGUAUUCAAACAUCCCUGUUGAAUUACUUAUGCGUAUGAUAUAUGUAGAACUUCAUGAAAAUCAGAAAAGAAAUGGUUGGCUACCUCCUAUUGUAUGGGUUUGCGGAAUAAACUAACUUCAUGAUACUUAGUGGGAAAGGAUUUAAUUGUUAAGGCAUCUUACUGUCCAUAAAAUACUUUAAGGACUUCUAUUCAAUUAUAUAAGUUGACACCUUAAAAAAAGGGAUAAAUGCAUGGCUAUCAAUUGACUUUAGUAAAUCCUGACUAAAUAUUUAUUUUACUAAUAUGGGCUAUGCAUGUUCCACCACCAUAUGAAAAAUUGUGGCUAAUUCCUUUCAGGACAAAACCAUUUUAAUGUAUUCUAUUGUGGAAAAUAUUAACUAGGUGCUAUUUAUACUAAUAUGGAAUAGAGAACUCCUAAUAUUUAUACAUAGUGUGUAAACAGUGAUUCUCACUUUCCUACAUUCAAAUAACAUUGAACAUUUUUUAAAAGUUUCUACUAUAAUAAAGACAUAAGUUUCUGUACAAUUUUUUAAAAAUAAAUGGAUUUGUUUCAUCAAAAAGUGUCUUUAUUAUACAAAUCUCCUAUCUUACUCUUAACAGUUUCCAAUAAAUUAGAAAUUAUCAUUUACUUUUGCAUUAGUCUUACAAAGGACUUUGAUUUAAUUCCCACUACCCACAUGCCUUAUUCUGUAUUACAUGUCCUUCUGUAGUUGAUAGUUGUUCAUAAACUUAUGUAAGGGUACAUACAUCAAGACAAUAUAAUAUAAAUGUUUUAAAGAUUCUUGAAAUACAUAUAUUUUUAGAGAGAAUCAAGAGAAAAUAUCUUCUCUAGAACACAUUAACACUAUAUUUUUCUUAUUAAAACUGUUUAUUUGAGAAUAUGUUAUCUACUAUAAAUUUUUGAUGUUUCAAAGAUAUAUGACAAGUUCUACUUUUGUCUUAAUAAAGAUAUUUUCAGUUAUUGUAUUCAUAUAAUGACUAACUUGGGAAACUGAUACAUAUUGUUACCAUAGUGUUCUAUUUUAGAACACUUCAGUAUUUCCUAUAUGGGUUCCAGUUAAUAAUCCAUUUGAAGAUCUUAUCCCUGAAGGAAAAACUCACUUGUCUCAUUAGAAAUUUCAUUUUCUGGGCAUGGACUGCAGUCAAAACAACAGGCUGGCAUUCCAUUCUUCCAGACUUUUCUAAAUCCAGGACCACAAUCGGCACUGCACACAGAGGUUGGCAUCUAAAGGAAAAAAGAGAUGUAUCGUGCUAGCAGGUGUUUGACAUACCCCUUCUGUAAUUGUGUUAAAUAGGUAUGUGAUAUUAAUGAGUUUAUUUUAAAUAAACCAACAAAGUUACUGGAUUUUACAUAGUACAUUGUAUGACAGUCAUCAAUAUAAGAAAAAAAUUGUGGGAAAGUUGAAUUGUUUCCCAUCAACAUGAAAUUCAGGAAGAAGAGGUAAUAGUGUCUUGUAUGCAACCAGUGCAAAUAUUGCAAGCUGGUUAUUCUAUUUAAUUCUCGUCUCCUUAAAACAAAGUACAUUAUAAACACACAAAUAAUCCUCAUAGAGAGAUUAUCUCCAUCAGAAUAGUCUCUCAUCAUAUAUGUGAAACAUAUUUUAAAUUGGUAAUUGAUGUAGGAGUGCCCAGCUUAUUGGGGGCAGUGUUCCUUCUAGGCAGUGGUACAUUACACAUCAUGAAGAACAAGCCAGUAAGCAGAGUUCCUUGAGUGACUUUGUUUAAGUUGCAUUAUUCAGACCUUGUCUUCCCUUGAUUGUAACUCAUGAGCCAAAUCUAACUUUUCUUCCUCACUUUCUUUAUAGUUAGUGUUCAAUUACAUCAACUUAGUAUUCAAGUAUGUGUAAAGGCAUACAAAACCAGGAAAAUACAAGCUGAAAUAUCAGAAUACCAAAAUAAUGUCAACAAGUUUAGGACAACAAAUCUUAAGAAACUAAGUGGAAAUAGAAAAAAAAAACAAAACAAAACAGCUGCAUAUGAUCACCACUAUUGCAUUUUCGUGAGGAGAUGCUGAGUUCCUGUAUAGUGAGCUGGAAGAUGGAGGGUUUCCUAAGAGAGAAGUCUUUACAAAGCCGUGUCUUCAAGUAGCUUCUUGGAAUCUGUCCUCAGUUGGAUUUCAUUUGUAAAUUAAGACACCAAGAACCAAUAGCUGGGAAGGACCGAAAGAGUCUACUUUUAGCCUUCCCAGGGCUUGGAACCAAGAGAAGGAGGAAGGGAGAGGUCUGCCUGCUGGAUACUUGGAGUGCCAACAGAGGAGAGGCUGACUCCCAUAAGGACCUGAUCCUUCAGUUGGGAUGUUGAAGUCUGUUGGAAGUUCUUAAUCAAGACUCAGGAAUGUCCACAAAAGAUAAAGGCAGGAAGACGAUGGUCUUAAAACCCAUACCCAAAGUGACACACCUACUCCAACAAGGCUACUAUUCCAAAUAGUGCCAAUACAUGGGUGAAGUAUAUACAAACCCUCACAUUCUGUGAGUGCAUAAAUAACAGAAAUUGGACUUUUAACCAUAAUUUUUUCUUGUUUUUCUUUUUUUUCCAAGCUGGGGACUGAACCCAGGGCCUUGUGCUUGCUAGGCAAGCACUCUCCCACUAAUCUCCAACCCCUUAACCAUAAUUUUUUUAAAAUAAAUAUUUGUACAGUGCUAUCAUGGAGAAGCAAAAUGAGACAAUUGGAAAUUUAAUAUGAUCAUGGUGCAUGAUAUGAAAUUUCGAAUGAAUCAAUAAAAAUUAUGUGAAAAAUAAACUAGACUCUUUUUUUAUGAUUUUUGAGUACAGGUGACCACAAACAUUCAAACAUCACUAAAAAUAUUCUGUAUAUUAUAUUUUAGUUGUUAUUUCAAAAGUGUUAGUUGUUAUUUUCGAAAGUGUUUUUCCUGUCACUCGAGUGGUGUUUAUACAUUAUUUUGAUCUCUUGUGUUCAUCUUAGUAUUAAAUAUGAUAGAGUUCUUAUAAUGACUUUCAUAGUGCUCAUUGUUGAGUUAUGGUUUUUGUAAUUGUGUUCAUCCUGAAAAUUUUGUUGUCUCCUUUUAUUAUAAGUAAUAAAUUCACUGGUUAUAGUAACUGAGUUGGCAGUUACAUCUCUAAAUGUUUUAAAUAUAUAUUUUUAAAUUCUCCUCCUUUAAAAAUAUAAAUGGUAUGCUACAUCGAACAAAACUUAGGAAGAUAAGUAACAAAGAUAGAACAAGGUGGGACACAUAUAUCUCCCUGAGAAGGGGAAAUAACGUAGACAUGGAGGGUGAGUGGGUUUGGUGACUGAAUGGGAGUGUGAUGGGAUGAGAAAAGAAGGGGUAGACUAAUAAACAGGUUGUUUGAAGAGAGCACUAAAAUGGGAGUGGCAACUCUGAGUCAUGCUAGAAUAUUAAAGCAAUAGAAACUCCCAGAAAUUUAUGAGGAUAACUAUGGGUAACCUUCCUUGAAAAAUGGGGUAUGGAGUCUGUAAUGGCCAUCUCCAAAAACCAAGAAGAUUUUCAGUGUUGGGAUUGAGACAAUACGCUAAACACAAAUCCAUAACCUACAAUUUACCCUGCCUAAUCAUGUGCAGGAAUAAAGAUAUAGCAGAGGAUGAGGAGAUAACUAACCAAUGACUGGCAUAGCUUGCAAAUGUUGCCAAGAGAGAAAGCUCACCCCUGAUGCUGGUUAAAAAAAUUCUGAAAUAUUUGCAUGCAAGAAUCUAGCAAAUCAUCAUAUGAGAGAAUUCAACAAGCCAGUGAUGAAACCAUUUCAGAAAUCAAUGCCCCCAAAUAGGCAAAGUUUGGGGAAUCUUGGAUAAGAGGACAAAGAACUGUAAGAGCAAGAGGGAUCAAGGAUACAAGAAAUCCUACAUAUCAACUGACCUGGAACCCAAAGUCACAAGAGUCUGAACCACAUACCACAAAAAUUCACAGGACUAAACUACAUCCUCUAAACAUGUGUAAACUUGUGAAGCUUGGUCAUUACAUGGGGGCACCUAAAAGCAGUAGCAGGUCCUGUGUCUGAUUUUGUUUUCUGCCCUUGUGAUUUUUUUC
rnacentral:sRNA from 1 species